CGGGGGCGUUGAUUGUCACCGGCGCUCGUUAACUUGGUUAAUUUUAUUGAGGGCUGUCAACUUGCGACGGGAGGAAGGCGUUAAAUUAUUCAUACCUUCUUGAAAUACAAAAGACAGCUGAGGCGAGGGAGCGCCGUUAUGUAGGUCAUUUCCUCUAUCCUUCACACGGCCGCCACAACGGUGGUGAGAGGCGAGAGGAAAGAGAGAGGAGAGAGGAGAGAGGAGAGAGAGAGAGAGAGAGAGAGAGAGAGGAAAGAGAGGAGAGCAAGGAGAGAUUAGAGAGAGGAAAUAGGAGAAUAGGAGAGAGGAGAGAGAGACAUAGAGAAAGAGAGGGGAUUGAUAGGAGAGAAAAGAGAGGGGAGAGAUAGAGAGGAGAGAGAGGACAAAGGAGAGAGGAGGGAGAGGACAAAGGAGAGAGAGAGAGAGGACUUAGAAGAGAGAGACAGAGAAGAGAGAGGUGAGAGAAGAGAGAAGGGAGAGGAGAGAGAGGAGAGAGGGAGGAGAAAGGAGAAAGAGAGGAGAGAGGGAGGAGAGCAAGGGGAGAUUAGAGAGAGGUAAUAGGGGAUACUGUAGAAGAGAGACAGAUGAGAGAGGAGAUAGAAGAGAGAGAGAUGCAGAUGAGAGAGAGAAGAGAGGGAGAUGAGAGAGAGAUGAGAUAGGAUAGAAAAGAUAGAGGAGAGAGGAGAAAGAGAGAGAGCGAGAGAGAGGAGAGAUAGAGAGGAGAGAGGAGAGAAAGAGAGAGAGAGAGAGAGAGAGGAGAGAGAGAGCCGUGAGACCGAGGAGAGGAACUCGACUGCCGCAGACUUGUGAGUGCUCCUGUUCCCAUAGUGCAUAUAUGUUCACACACUAUGUUAGGUAUGGCUGUAGGCUCAAAGAGUCCCCAUAUCUAACAUGGCCUUUGGAUAAGUCUUAUACAGUAGUGGUUGUGUUGCUUUGAUGGUUACAGACAUGAGUCAUGGAGGAGAGAGGUUUGUUAUCAUUAGGGAGUAAGAAUAAAAUGCAGUGUACUUAUAGGUCAACCCAAGCCACUAACAUAACUAAUCAACCCAAGUCACUAACAUAACUAAUCAACCCAAGUCACUAACAUAACUAAUCAACCCAAGUCACUAACAUAACUAAUCAACCCAAGUCACUAACAUAACUAAUCAACCCAAGUCACUAACAUAACUAAUCAACCCAAGUCACCAACAUAACUAAUCAACCCAAGUCACCAAGAUA
rnacentral:lncRNA from 1 species